GGCUGUGUGGUGUAGUGGGUAGAGUGUUGGGCUGGGACCUAGAAGGCCAGGGUUCAAAUCCCCACACAACCA
rnacentral:tRNA from 1 species